GACGAACGCUGGCGGCGUGCUUAACACAUGCAAGUCGAACGGAAAGGCCCUGCUUUUGUGGGGUGCUCGAGUGGCGAACGGGUGAGUAACACGUGAGUAACCUGCCCUUGACUUUGGGAUAACUUCUGGAAACUGGGGCUAAUACCGGAUAGGAGCUCCUGCUGCAUGGUGGGGGUUGGAAAGUUUCGGCGGUUGGGGAUGGACUCGCGGCUUAUCAGCUUGUUGGUGGGGUAGUGGCUUACCAAGGCUUUGACGGGUAGCCGGCCUGAGAGGGUGACCGGCCACAUUGGGACUGAGAUACGGCCCAGAAUCCUACGGGAGGCAGCAGUGGGGAAUAUUGCACAAUGGGCGGAAGCCUGAUGCAGCAACGCCGCGUGCGGGAUGACGGCCUUCGGGUUGUAAACCGCUUUCGCCUGUGACGAAGCGUGAGUGACGGUAAUGGGUAAAGAAGCACCGGCUAACUACGUG
rnacentral:rRNA from 1 species